rnacentral:rRNA from 1 species
ACCUGCGGAGGGAUCAUUACAAGUGACCCCGGUCUAACCACCGGGAUGUUCAUAACCCUUUGUUGUCCGACUCUGUUGCCUCCGGGGCGACCCUGCCUUCGGGCGGGGGCUCCGGGUGGACACUUCAAACUCUUGCGUAACUUUGCAGUCUGAGUAAACUUAAUUAAUAAAUUAAAACUUUUAACAACGGAUCUCUUGGUUCUGGCAUCGAUGAAGAACGCAGCGAAAUGCGAUAAGUAAUGUGAAUUGCAGAAUUCAGUGAAUCAUCGAAUCUUUGAACGCACAUUGCGCCCCCUGGUAUUCCGGGGGGCAUGCCUGUUCGAGCGUCAUUUCACCACUCAAGCCUCGCUUGGUAUUGGGCAACGCGGUCCGCCGCGUGCCUCAAAUCGACCGGCUGGGUCUUCUGUCCCCUAAGCGUUGUGGAAACUAUUCGCUAAAGGGUGUUCGGGAGGCUACGCCGUAAAACAACCCCAUUUCUAAGGUUGACCUCGGAUCAGGUAGGGAUACCCGCUGAACUUAAGCAUAUCAAAA